rnacentral:rRNA from 1 species
UACUUUCCGCCAGAGAACUACAAGUGAAAAACUUGAAACUCAAAGGACUUGACGGUGUCCCAUAUCGACCUAGAGGAGCCUGUCCUAUAAUCGAUACCCCCCGUUCCACCCAACUCCAACUAGCAAAAAAUCAGCCUAUAUACCGCCGUCGACAGUUUACCCUAUGAAGGUCUAAUAGUAGACACAACAGCCUUUAACGCUAAUACGUCAGGUCAAGGUGUAGCAAAUGUUGGGGAAGAGAUUGGCUACAUUUUUUAUAAUAAAAUAUACGGAUUGCACUAUGAAACACUGCAUGAAGGUGAAUUUAGUAGUAAAACAGAUAAGAGUGUCUGUUUUAACAACGCUCUGGGACGCGU